rnacentral:rRNA from 1 species
GACGAACGCUGGCGGCGUGCUUAACACAUGCAAGUCGAACGGAAAGGCCCUGCUUUUGUGGGGUGCUCGAGUGGCGAACGGGUGAGUAACACGUGAGUAACCUGCCCUUGACUUUGGGAUAACUUCAGGAAACUGGGGCUAAUACCGGAUAGGAGCUCCUGCUGCAUGGUGGGGGUUGGAAAGUUUCGGCGGUUGGGGAUGGACCCGCGGCUUAUCAGCUUGUUGGUGGGGUAGUGGCUUACCAAGGCUUUGACGGGUAGCCGGCCUGAGAGGGUGACCGGCCACAUUGGGACUGAGAUACGGCCCAGACUCCUACGGGAGGCAGCAGUGGGGAAUAUUGCACAAUGGGCGGAAGCCUGAUGCAGCAACGCCGCGUGCGGGAUGACGGCCUUCGGGUUGUAAACCGCUUUCGCCUGUGACGAAGCGUGAGUGACGGUAAUGGGUAAAGAAGCACCGGCUAACUACGUGCCAGCAGCCGCGGUGAUACGUAGGGUGCGAGCGUUGUCCGGAUUUAUUGGGCGUAAAGGGCUCGUAGGUGGUUGAUCGCGUCGGAAGUGUAAUCUUGGGGCUUAACCCUGAGCGUGCUUUCGAUACGGGUUGACUUGAGGAAGGUAGGGGAGAAUGGAAUUCCUGGUGGAGCGGUGGAAUGCGCAGAUAUCAGGAGGAACACCAGUGGCGAAGGCGGUUCUCUGGGCCUUUCCUGACGCUGAGGAGCGAAAGCGUGGGGAGCGAACAGGCUUAGAUACCCUGGUAGUCCACGCUGUAAACGGUGGGUACUAGGUGUGGGGUCCAUUCCACGGGUUCCGUGCCGUAGCUAACGCUUUAAGUACCCCGCCUGGGGAGUACGGCCGCAAGGCUAAAACUCAAAGGAAUUGACGGGGCCCCGCACAAGCGGCGGAGCAUGCGGAUUAAUUCGAUGCAACGCGUAGAACCUUACCUGGGUUUGACAUGGAUCGGGAGUGCUCAGAGAUGGGUGUGCCUCUUUUGGGGUCGGUUCACAGGUGGUGCGUGGCUGUCGUCAGCUCGUGUCGUGAGAUGUUGGGUUAAGUCCCGCAACGAGCGCAACCCUUGUUCACUGUUGCCAGCACGUUAUGGUGGGGACUCAGUGGAGACCGCCGGGGUCAACUCGGAGGAAGGUGGGGAUGACGUCAAGUCAUCAUGCCCCUUAUGUCCAGGGCUUCACGCAUGCUACAAUGGCUGGUACAGAGAGUGGCGAGCCUGUGAGGGUGAGCGAAUCUCGGAAAGCCGGUCUCAGUUCGGAUUGGGGUCUGCAACUCGACCUCAUGAAGUCGGAGUCGCUAGUAAUCGCAGAUCAGCAACGCUGCGGUGAAUACGUUCCCGGG